AGAAAACAUGCAAAUAAGUUCAAACAUCAAUUCAAUAUCUACUAUUUCCUGAAUAUUAUGAAAAUCAAGAUGGCCGCCCCCUGAUGACAUCAUAAUAUGCAAAUUAGACGAGUAUAUUUAAACCCCACAUAAUCAUUCGGUCA